GGAUUUGGGAGAAAAUAGCUUUGGGACAUAAACCCUAGGCUAAAAUGAAAGAGAAGAAGAAUAUAGGAGAAAAAUAGCUUUGAAACUCAAACUCUAGGUUCUGAUACCAUGUUGAAAUUUAAAAUUAUAGAAAAGAUAGGAGAAAAUAGCAAAAGAAAGAUUUAUGUGGUUCUGCAAUCAAAAGCCUACAUACACAGACACAAAACCAAAGAGUUACAUUUUUAUUCCCUUGUAUGUUUAACAAAAUAUAUUAUAAUUCAUAUUUAUAAUGGAAGAUAUAGGAUAUAUUUGACAUCCCAUAAAUGACUCCUUAAUACAAGUAUUAAUCAAGCCAAUGAUUUUGCU
rnacentral:misc_RNA from 1 species